rnacentral:sRNA from 1 species
UAAUCCUCAAAGGAUUCACAGAGCAGGCUGAAUGCAGCUGCCGUGUUUUCCCUGGUUAAAUUGGCAGUUACCCACUGUGUAGAGUUGCUAGGAGAAGAUGAAUAACCAUGAUUACAGCAUCUCUUGAUGGACACACUCUCUCAAUAACAACCUGUGGAGCUCUGGGGUCUGUCUUCUGAGCGGCUCGAUGUGUGACUUUUCUCCGUGUUUGCUGUUAAUAUUAUCUGCAUUAAUUCAGGAAGCAUGCUAUAUUUUUUUAAGUGUCGCUUCCAGAUCAAUUAAGAGACAAAAGCCUUGAUAUUUAAACAGGCACUUUCUUCUCAGGGUGGUGCUGCUGGUACUGCUUCCCACCAUCUGGUUUCUUAUUACAUCCUGCCCUGCUUCAGCUGCUAGAGAGGAAUUCAGCUUCUCCUGGAGCGCGAAAGUCAUUCACGUUUCUUUCGUGCAUAAUUGAGCUCGUAAACUGUAGAAAUUCUGAUGUGCUUCUGUGCACGGAACAGUAACAGAUGAGCUGUUGGAGGAUAGCCUGAACAGUCGGUCAGUAGUACAGUAGCAGCUCACAUGUGUGGAUUGCUCCCGUGAGGAACAUCAUUAUGGGCUCUACAGAUACAGACAUAGAAGAACUGGAAAACGCCACUUACAAGUAUCUCAUUGGAGAACAGACCGAGAAGAUGUGGCAACGCCUGAAAGGAAUAAGCUGAGAAUCAGAAAACCGUUUAGCCUUCGUUUGAGAAACAACAAUGCAUAAACCUUCAGGUUUUGCAAAAGCACCUGACAGAAAAAUCAAGCAUCCCCGAAGAGAAAUUCAUUCAGAAAAUAUGUAUUGUGGUAUUGAUCUAUGGUCUUAUGAUCUAUGAUCAGUGAUCUUAAGAUCAUGGAAGCAUACAUUCUAAUUUACAUUAUGAUCCUAUAACCCUAAACCAUUUGUACGACUUAAAGUCAGAAAUGUGUGCAGUUUUACGGAGUUUUGCAUUACUGAAAAUUCAAUGUGAAGUUCAGAUGGGAGAACCAAAAAGCAUAAAUGGAUUUUCAUCUGUCCAUUCAUUAUCUAUUCAACCACUCAUUGAUUGAAUAUCAGUCACCCAAUAAAAUGUUCCAAGCUUCUAUAUCAUGUUCAGUGUAAUACUUGCCUUUGGGGGCGGACAAAAGGAUAACAGAUGCAAAUGCUAGGAGGUAGGUGGUGGUAAACAAAUAUGUGCUAGUCUUUGACACAGGAAGUAGUUGUUGCUGCAAACAAUGACGUCAGCUGUUGUUGAAUAUAGUAUGAAAUAGACUGAGUAGAAUAUACCUAGAGUUUUGAUGAGUCAAUGCUGGAAUAUUUUUUGUUGAGAGAAGAAUCCAGUCUUAAAUUAGGUCAUGGGCAAUCAGAUUGACAUUAGUAAGGCAAAGAAGUAUGCCAAGAAAUGAGGAGACAAGACUCCAAAGACGGUGAUAAAGAGCUGAAGCUCAGUAACAGCCAUGAUGAUAAUGGCGAAGUCACAGGAACAGCAGCACACGGAGUUCUUUCCAGAGACACAGAGUUUAAUGACCUGAAUCCAUGCUGGCUCCUAAAUAAGGAGACCACAGCUACUUUGGAAAGACACCUUCUCCAUUAAACCAGAACAUUGAGCACUCUGCAGAAUAUCAUGGUACACAAUAUUGACAGUGUACAAAGAAUGCUUAUAAUAUAUGCUUAUUAAAACAUUGCCAAAUGUCACAAAUUCACAAACAUAUUAUUUCAACUGGUUAUAACAAAGCAAAGGGGUGUGUGUGUGUGUGUGUGUGUGUGUGUGUGUGUGUGUGUGUGCAUAUUGCCGUUCCCACUUUAGAAACAGGAAAUUGAAGUACAUAAAAAAUCUUGACUGGGGUUAUUAAAUAAAGAUUUACUUUAAAAGCUAGGCUUAUCACAAAUUUAGUUUGCUACUUACACUAAAUAUGGCUGGUUUUGAGUGAAAAACCCGACUUCAUGCUCUAAGGAGUAUUUAUGUAUAAAGUGAACAUAAAUCACCAAAAAUGGUUCUGUUUAUGAUGAACGUAAAUGGGGUUAACUGUACUGGUCACGUCGCAUCCAAACCAAAGUGCAUGACCUCUUUCCCCAAGCUUCUUUAGGUUUCUUGCCAAAUAUUAUUGCAAACAUUGCAUGUAUUUUAUACAGUGAAGUAGUCAGGCUUUUAUAACAGUAUUAUACUAUAGUCAUUUUCUAAUGACUUAAGAGCUAAUAAAACAGAAUUAUACUGCUAUUUUCUUUACUUACAUUGUAGGUAACUAGUACUUACAUAGUCAUUUUUAAAAAAGAUUUUUUAUGUUCUUAUUUAUAUGCAUUUAUGUAUGUGCAACUCAACUGGAGUUGGAGUUUCAGGUUUCUGAAGUGUCUGAUGUGGGUGCUGGGAGCUGAGCCACUCAUGUCCUCUGCAAGAGCA